GCAAGUCGAACGAGACCUUCGGGUCUAGUGGCGCACGGGUUCGUCACGCGUGGGAAUCUGCCCUUGGGUUCGGAAUAACGUCGGGAAACUGACGCUAAUACCGGAUGAUGACGAAAGUCCAAAGAGUUAUCGCCCAGGGAUGAGCCCGCGUAGGAUUAGCUAGUUGGUGAGGUAAAGGCUCACCAAGGCAACGAUCCGUAGCUGGUCUGAGAGGAUGAUC
rnacentral:rRNA from 1 species